rnacentral:rRNA from 1 species
AACGAACGCUGGCGGCAGGCCUAACACAUGCAAGUCGAGCGCGCCCUUCGGGGUGAGCGGCGGACGGGUGAGUAACGCGUGGGAACGUGCCCUUUGCUACGGAAUAGUCUCGGGAAACUGGGGGUAAUACCGUAUGUGCCCUUCGGGGGAAAGAUUAUCGGCAAAGGAUCGGCCCGCGUUGGAUUAGGUAGUUGGUGGGGUAAUGGCCCACCAAGCCGACGAUCCAUAGCUGGUUUGAGAGGAUGAUCAGCCACACUGGGACUGAGACACGGCCCAGACUCCUACGGGAGGCAGCAGUGGGGGAAUCUUAGACAAUGGGCGCAAGCCUGAUCUAGCCAUGCCGCGUGAGCGAUGAAGGCCUUAGGGUUGUAAAGCUCUUUCGUGGGGGAAGAUAAUGACUGUACCCCAAGAAGAAGCCCCGGCUAACUCCGUG